rnacentral:rRNA from 1 species
UACGAAGGGGGCUAGCGUUGUUCGGAAUUACUGGGCGUAAAGCGCACGUAGGCGGACUAUUAAGUCAGGGGUGAAAUCCCGGGGCUCAACCCCGGAACUGCCUUUGAUACUGGUAGUCUCGAGUCCGGAAGAGGUGAGCGGAAUUCCGAGUGUAGAGGUGAAAUUCGUAGAUAUUCGGAGGAACACCAGUGGCGAAGGCGGCUCACUGGUCCGGUACUGACGCUGAGGUGCGAAAGCGUGGGGAGCAAACAGG